rnacentral:rRNA from 1 species
GAUGAACGCUGGCGGCGUGCCUAAUACAUGCAAGUCGAGCGAAGGGACGAGAAGCUUGCUUCUCUGAUGUUAGCGGCGGACGGGUGAGUAACACGUGGAUAACCUACCUAUAAGACUGGGAUAACUGCGGGAAACCGUAGCUAAUACCGGAUAAUAUUUUGAACCGCAUGGUUCAAAAGUGAAAGACGGGCUUGCUGUCACUUAUAGAUGGAUCCGCGCUGCAUUAGCUAGUUGGUAAGGUAACGGCUUACCAAGGCAACGAUGCAUAGCCGACCUGAGAGGGUGAUCAGCCACACUGGACCUGAGACCCGGUCCAGACUCCUACGGGAGGCCGCAGUGGGGCAUCUUCCGCUAUGGGCGAAAGCCUGACGGAGCAACUCCACGUGAGUGGUGAAGGUCUUCGGAUCGUAAAACUCUGUUAUUAGGAAAGCACAUAUGUGUCAGUAACUGUGCACAUCUUGACGGUACCUAAUCAGAAAGCCACGGCUAACUACGUG